rnacentral:rRNA from 1 species
GAACGCGAAGAACCUUACCAAGGCUUGACAUGUUAACUGUGGCUCUAGAGAUAGGGUUUACCCUUUUGGGUGGUUUUCACAGGUGGUGCAUGGUUGUCGUCAGCUCGUGUCGUGAGAUGUUGGGUUAAGUCCCGCAACGAGCGCAACCCUUGUCCCGUGUUGCCAGCACGUUGUGGUGGGGACUCGCGGGAGACUGCCGGGGUCAACUCGGAGGAAGGUGGGGAUGACGUCAAAUCAUCAUGCCCCUUAUGUCUUGGGCUUCACGCAUGCUACAAUGGCCGGUACAGAGGGUUGCGAUACUGUGAGGUGGAGCUAAUCCCUUAAAGCUGGUCUCAGUUCGGAUUGGUGUCUGCAACUCGACACCAUGAAGGUGGAGUCGCUAGUAAUCGCAGAUCAGCAACGCUGCGGUGAAUACGUUCUCGGGUCUUGUACACACC